UACGGAGGGUGCAAACGUUGCUCGGAAUUAUUGGGCGUAAAGCGCACGUAGGCGGCCGACUAAGUCGGGUGUGAAAGCCCUGGGCUCAACCCAGGAAGUGCACUCGAAACUGGUCGGCUUGAGUAUGGAAGAGGGUUGCGGAAUUCCCGGUGUAGAGGUGAAAUUCGUAGAUAUCGGGAGGAACACCAGUGGCGAAGGCGGCAACCUGGGCCAAUACUGACGCUGAGACGCGAAAGCGUGGGUAGCAAACAGG
rnacentral:rRNA from 1 species